UACGUAGGGACCAAGCGUUGUCCGGAUUUAUUGGGCGUAAAGAGCUCGUAGGCGGUGUGUCGCGUCGGCCGUGAAAACCUGCAGCUUAACUGUGGGCUUGCGGGCGAUACGGGCAGACUGGAGUACUGCAGGGGAGACUGGAAUUCCUGGUGUAGCGGUGGAAUGCGCAGAUAUCAGGAGGAACACCGGUGGCGAAGGCGGGUCUCUGGGCAGUAACUGACGCUGAGGAGCGAAAGCGUGGGGAGCGAACAGG
rnacentral:rRNA from 1 species